CGGGGGAGGCCGGAUCCUGGGCUGUGUCCCGGCGCCCUGUGCUCCCGGGGCCUGCGCUGUUGGAAUCGCGCUCCCGCCCCGCAGCCCCCU
rnacentral:pre_miRNA from 1 species